rnacentral:rRNA from 1 species
GAUGAACGCUGGCGGCGUGCCUAAUACAUGCAAGUCGAGCGAGCAGAUGAGGAGCUUGCUCCUCUGACGUUAGCGGCGGACGGGUGAGUAACACGUGGAUAACCUACCUAUAAGACUGGGAUAACUUCGGGAAACCGGAGCUAAUACCGGAUAAUAUAUUGAACCGCAUGGUUCAAUAGUGAAAGACGGUUUUGCUGUCACUUAUAGAUGGAUCCGCGCCGCAUUAGCUAGUUGGUAAGGUAACGGCUUACCAAGGCAACGAUGCGUAGCCGACCUGAGAGGGUGAUCGGCCACACUGGAACUGAGACACGGUCCAGACGCCUACGGGAGGCAGCAGUAGGGAAUCUUCCGCAAUGGGCGAAAGCCUGACGGAGCAACGCCGCGUGAGUGAUGAAGGUCUUCGGAUCGUAAAACUCUGUUAUUAGGGAAGAACAAAUGUGUAAGUAACUAUGCACGUCUUGACGGUACCUAAUCAGAAAGCCACGGCUAACUACGUG